rnacentral:rRNA from 1 species
CACCAGGUUGAUUCUGCCUGACGUGGACGCUUGCCUUAAGGAUUAAGCCAUGCAAGCCAGCGAAUUUUAUAUGGAGCGGCGUACGGCUCAGUAGGACAGGACUUAUCUGGUCAUGAUGCGGGAUAACCACGGAAACCUGUGGCUAAUACGGAGAAUGAGUGAGGGCCUGGCCUAUCAGCUUGUCGGUAAGGUAAAGGCUUACCGGGGCGAUUACGGGUAACGAGGAAUCGGGGUUUGAUUUGGAGAAGGAGCCUGAGAGAUGGCUGCUACGUCUAAGGAUGGCAGCAGGCGCGAAACUUGCCCACUCGGAGGACCGGAGGCAGUGACGGGGCGUGAUUUUAUUAUGAUGAGGGCGCUGCAAACAUGCGCCCGAAAGCAACUGGAGGGCAAGUCUGGUGCCAGCAGCCGCGGUAAUACCAGCUCCAGGAGCGUCUGUGUGUAUUGCUGCGGUUAAAGGGCGCGUAGUCGGGCGUAAGGCCAACGAUAAAUACCCAGGUUCCGCCUGGGACUGACGUUGGAACCGGAGCCUUGGGACCGGAGUAGGGCAAUGGUAUUCGGGGGCGAGGGGUGAAAACCGAUGACCCUCCGAGGAGCGACAGAGGCGAAAGCGGUUGUCCACUACGGGUCCGACGAUCAAGCGCGUAGGCAGGAGUAUCGAAGGCGAUUAGACACCGUCGUAGUUUCUGCAGUAAACGAUGCCAACAGGGGAGAGCGGGCCAGCUCUCCCUGAGGGAAACCGAGUGUAUGGGCCCCGGGGAUAGUAUAGGCGCAAGCUGGAAACUUGAAGAAAUUGACGGAAGGACACCACAAGGAGUGGAGUGUGCGGGUUAAUUUGACUCAACGCGGGAAAGCUUACCGGGGCAGGCGGCGGCCGGAGACCAGGCGGUCUAUGGAGCGGCAUGGGAGGCUGCCGCGCGUGGUGCAUGGCCGUUUUUAACACGUGGGGUGACUUGUCUGGUCAAGUCUGAUAACGCGUGAGACCUAGGGCUGCGGCGACGGCACCUGUAAGGGUGAGGAGGCACUAGUCGAUAACAGGUCUGUGAUGCCCGUAGAUGUCCCGGGCUCCACGCGCACUACAUUAGGGGAGGGUCUGUGAAACUGCGCUCCCCUGCGGUUGGGAUUGACGCUUGUAAAUGCGUCAUGAACACGGAAUUCCUAGUAGCGUGGUGUCAUCAACACCAGGCGAAUGGGUCCCUGUUCUUUGUACACACCGCCCGUCGUUAUCUAAGAUGGGUGUGUAAAUGAAGCUAGUCACCUAGAAGAAUUUGCACGCCUAAAUCGGAUACAAGUCGUAACAAGGUUGCUGUAGGUGAACCAGCAGCAGGAUCAUAA